GCUAGAUCUCUGGCUUCCGGAGGGUCAGAGAUAAGAGAGUGAGUUACCAGGCUGUGGAUUUCAGGGGAAAGUUCUGUUUCCAGCCUACUGGGAAAGAUGUGUCCAUCUGUCCCUGAGCAGGUGGUUCGUGACUGUAGAUCACACUCAGAUUUUCCGGCCCAGACCAGGCUAGCCUUGAGCAGAGCAGGAAUGAGCCUUCUCCCAGGGCUGGAAAAGAAGCUUCCGUCUGGAAGGGGCAAAAGAAAUGACACGGUGCCCCUGGGAUCCCCAGCCCAGCCUCCCAUGCUGGAAGGGCUGGAGGGAGGAUUGACGCAAGGAGUCUGAAAAUUCAUGCCCGCCUUCGUCUGGAUUUGUGGUUGCUUCUGUAAUUUGUUUAGGUGGCUUUUGAUCUGUGAAACCAUUUGGUUUUCAGCUUU